GACGAACGCUGGCGGCGUGCCUAAUACAUGCAAGUAGAACGCUGAAGGAGGAGCUUGCUUCUCUGGAUGAGUUGCGAACGGGUGAGUAACGCGUAGGUAACCUGCCUGGUAGCGGGGGAUAACUAUUGGAAACGAUAGCUAAUACCGCAUAACAGUAGAUAUCGCAUGAUAUCUACUUGAAAGGUGCAAUUGCAUCACUACCAGAUGGACCUGCGUUGUAUUAGCUAGUUGGUGAGGUAACGGCUCACCAAGGCGACGAUACAUAGCCGACCUGAGAGGGUGAUCGGCCACACUGGGACUGAGACACGGCCCAGAGUCCUACGGGAGGCAGCAGUAGGGAAUCUUCGGCAAUGGACGGAAGUCUGACCGAGCAACGCCGCGUGAGGGAAGAAGGUUUUCGGAUCGUAAAGCUCUGUUGUAAGAGAAGAACGAGUGUGAGAGUGGAAAGUUCACACUGUGACGGUAUCUUACCAGAAAGGGACGGCUAACUACGUG
rnacentral:rRNA from 1 species